AUACGUAGGGAGCAAGCGUUGUCCGGAAUUACUGGGCGUAAAGGGCGUGUAGGCGGCCGAUCAAGUCAGGUGUGAAAUUUCAGGGCUCAACCCUGAGCGUGCACUUGAAACUGGUUGGCUUGAGUGCAGAAGAGGAAAGUGGAAUUCCCAGUGUAGCGGUGAAAUGCGUAGAUAUUGGGAGGAACACCAGUGGCGAAGGCGACUUUCUGGUCUGUAACUGACGCUGAGGCGCGAAAGCUAGGGGAGCGAACAGGAUUAGAUACCCGGGUAGUCCUAGCCGUAAACGAUGGGUACUAGGUGUAGGGGGUUUAGACGCCCUCUGUGCCGCAGUUAACACAUUAAGUACCCCGCCUGGGGAGUACGGCCGCAAGGCUGAAACUCAAAGGAAUUGACGGGG
rnacentral:rRNA from 1 species